rnacentral:misc_RNA from 1 species
GAUGAAGAACGUAGCGAAAUGCGAUAACUAAUGUGAAUUGCAGAAUUCCGUGAAUCAUCGAGUCUUUGAACGCACAUUGCGCCCCCUGGUAUUCCGGGGGGCAUGCCUGUCCGAGCGUCAUUGCUGCCCAUCAAGCACGGCUUGUGUGUUGGGUCCUCGUCCCCCCCGGGGGACGUGCCCGAAAGGCAGCGGCGGCACCGCGUCCGGUCCUCGAGCGUAUGGGGCUUUGUCACCCGCUCAGCAGGCCCGGCCGGCGCUGGCCGACGCGAAAGCAACCAUUUUUUCUCCAGGUUGACCUCGGAUCAGGUAGGGAUACCCGCUGAACUUAAGCAUAUCAAUAAGCGGAGGA